rnacentral:rRNA from 1 species
AUGAACGCUAGCUACAGGCUUAACACAUGCAAGUCGAGGGGCAGCAUGGUCUUAGCUUGCUAAGGCCGAUGGCGACCGGCGCACGGGUGAGUAACACGUAUCCAACCUGCCGUCUACUCUUGGACAGCCUUCUGAAAGGAAGAUUAAUACAAGAUGGCAUCAUGAGUCCGCAUGUUCACAUGAUUAAAGGUAUUCCGGUAGACGAUGGGGAUGCGUUCCAUUAGAUAGUAGGCGGGGUAACGGCCCACCUAGUCUUCGAUGGAUAGGGGUUCUGAGAGGAAGGUCCCCCACAUUGGAACUGAGACACGGUCCAAACUCCUACGGGAGGCAGCAGUGAGGAAUAUUGGUCAAUGGGCGAGAGCCUGAACCAGCCAAGUAGCGUGAAGGAUGACUGCCCUAUGGGUUGUAAACUUCUUUUAUAAAGGAAUAAAGUCGGGUAUGGAUACCCGUUUGCAUGUACUUUAUGAAUAAGGAUCGGCUAACUCCGUGCCAGCAGCCGCGGUAAUACGGAGGAUCCGAGCGUUAUCCGGAUUUAUUGGGUUUAAAGGGAGCGUAGAUGGAUGUUUAAGUCAGUUGUGAAAGUUUGCGGCUCAACCGUAAAAUUGCAGUUGAUACUGGAUAUCUUGAGUGCAGUUGAGGCAGGCGGAAUUCGUGGUGUAGCGGUGAAAUGCUUAGAUAUCACGAAGAACUCCGAUUGCGAAGGCAGCCUGCUAAGCUGCAACUGACAUUGAGGCUCGAAAGUGUGGGUAUCAAACAGGAUUAGAUACCCUGGUAGUCCACACGGUAAACGAUGAAUACUCGCUGUUUGCGAUAUACUGCAAGCGGCCAAGCGAAAGCGUUAAGUAUUCCACCUGGGGAGUACGCCGGCAACGGUGAAACUCAAAGGAAUUGACGGGGGCCCGCACAAGCGGAGGAACAUGUGGUUUAAUUCGAUGAUACGCGAGGAACCUUACCCGGGCUUAAAUUGCAACUGACGGAACCGGAAACGGUUCUUUCUUCGGACAGUUGUGAAGGUGCUGCAUGGUUGUCGUCAGCUCGUGCCGUGAGGUGUCGGCUUAAGUGCCAUAACGAGCGCAACCCUUGUUGUCAGUUACUAACAGGUUCCGCUGAGGACUCUGACAAGACUGCCAUCGUAAGAUGUGAGGAAGGUGGGGAUGACGUCAAAUCAGCACGGCCCUUACGUCCGGGGCUACACACGUGUUACAAUGGGGGGUACAGAGGGCCGCUACCACGCGAGUGGAUGCCAAUCCCCAAAACCUCUCUCAGUUCGGACUGGAGUCUGCAACCCGACUCCACGAAGCUGGAUUCGCUAGUAAUCGCGCAUCAGCCACGGCGCGGUGAAUACGUUCCCGGGCCUUGUACACACCGCCCGUCAAGCCAUGGGAGCCGGGGGUACCUGAAGUGCGUAACCGCGAGGAGCGCCCUAGGGUAAAACUGGUGACUGGGGCU